rnacentral:tRNA from 1 species
GUCAUGGCUCAGUGGUAGGUCCUCCGCCUUGCAUGCAGGAGGUCCCAGGUUCAAUCCACGGCAUCGGUG